UGAAUAAAGAGCAUUGCUGGAUAAUUAUAUUUAACCAGAUUGCUAAGUCAGAUUCUCUUUAUGUCCUCUUUACUUAUAUUAAAAGCGUUUUGUUUUUUGUAUUUUGGUAAUCGUGGUGUCCGGGCCAUCUUGCGCACCCACGUCGACUUAUUUCACGGGAUACCUGCUAUUUUUCACCAACACACCUACCAGAUAACACUGUUUACCAAGGCUUGAACAAAUAAGAAGAAAUCACCUAGUACUUUUGUCUACGCUGGCAUUUGAACCACUUUAUUAACCAUUAGGCCACACCCUUGGGUACCUAUCUCCGCUUUGAACCACUUUAUUAACUAUUAGGCCACACCCUUGGGUACCUAUCUCCGCUUUGAACCACUUUAUUAACUAUUAGGCCACACCCUUGGGUACCUAUCUCCAGCGGUGCUGGAUGUGAUUACAAUUUGUGAUACUUUAUAGAGUCAAUCUCGCUAUUUUCUUUAUUAAUUUGGUUCUCCCUACUUUUAUAAUUGUGUUACAUAUCCCGUGGAUUUAGUCGAGGUGCGAGAGCUGGCCCAGACACCAC
rnacentral:lncRNA from 1 species